AUGUCGACCCCUGGCUCCAGCACCCGUGGGCCCGGCACCCCGGUACCUACAGCCGGAAGUGUCCCAUCGCCAUCGGGCUCGGUGCCGGGAGCCGCUGCCCCUUUCAGACCCCUGUUUAACGACUUUGGACCGCCCUCCAUGGGCUAUGUGCAGGCAAUGAAGCCACCUGGAGCCCAGGGCUCCCAGAGCACCUACACGGACCUGUUGUCGGUCAUAGAGGAGAUGGGCAAAGAGAUCCGGCCUACCUAUGCUGGCAGCAAGAGCGCCAUGGAGCGCCUGAAGAGAGGCAUCAUCCAUGCCCCGGCCCUAGUCAGAGAAUGCCUGGCAGAGACAGAGCGGAACGCCCGCACGUAACAGGACGCAACUCCGCCACCGAGUCUGGACCUUUCCUGGCCACUGCAGAGCACCUGCUUCUCCCUGGCCUUCACCCCGAGUUGCACUUCCCAACCUGGGCUUCCUGUCCUGUGUCCCUUGGUGGGUGCCCUCCAGGAACCAGGGGGGCUCUCACUUCAGUCGACAGCACUAAUUGGGACUUUUUCGAGAGUUAGUAGCGAGGUCGCUGUGAGUCCCACCCAUGACCUGCCAACAGUGUUGAUCCAACUGGAGCUUGCUCCUUUCUGUGGCCCCCACCGCUCAGCACUUACCCAGGACUUUUCACCACUUUUCCCAGACCCCUCCCCUAGCAGGGCCUCCGAAGGCCUGUCACCUCCCUGCCUUGUCUCCUGGGCCAUAGCAACUCUUUUUUCAGUGUCUUUUGCUAAAUAUGCCCUUUUUGUAUAAAUAAAAGAUAAUUUGGAGUUGUUCU